CAAACUGAAGCCGUGAGACCUGGCCCCAUGCACUUUGUUUCUUUGGGUCUAAGAAUGGAUGCCUGUGUCCAGGUCAUGGCCAGUGACAUUCCUUUGGUAUUAGUGUUAACUAAAGCUAUCUUUAAAAAAAAAAAAAAUUUUUUUUUUUUAAUGUUGAAACAAACAGGAGAGACAGAAGGUGAAACAGAGCAGAAAAGGACCAGAAAGAAGAAGGAAAAGAAGAGAGACUCGGAGACGGUGGCAGACAGGGCAGCAGAACCGCUUCCCCUGCCUGCGUCUCCUGGGCGAGACCAGAGGAAGAGCGCUUCCAGCUUUUUCAAGAAGCUCAGGGAAGAACUGCAGUCUGCUCCCGCUGCCCCUUCAGAAGUCCCCGCUGCUACGACUGCAGUCUCCCUCUUUCCCCUAGAGAACGACAGCAAGCUAGUGGAAGUGGUAGAGUUCCACAGCAGAAGUGAAAAAAGAAAACCAAAGUCAGAGGAAGAUAAACCGGCAAAGAAUAAAACAAAGGUCCUUGAAAAAGAUGUGGUUAUUCAGGAAUUUAACCUAGAAAAGGCUCGUCUGGAAGUACACCGCUUUGGGAUCACAGGCUAUGGCAAAGGAAAAGAAAGAGUCCUGGAGCGGGAGCGGGCCAUCAUGCUGGGGGCUAAGCCUCCCAAAAACACUUACGUGAAUUACAAGGUUUUGCAGGAGCAAAUCAAAGAAAAGAGGACCUCAAUGGAAGAAGAAAAGAGAGCG
rnacentral:lncRNA from 1 species